GUGUCAGCAGCCGCGGUAAUACGUACUGUGCGAACGUUAUUCGGAAUCACUGGGCUUACAGGGUGCGUAGGCGGCUAACCAGGUCCGAUGUGAAAUCCCCCGGCUCAACCGGGGAACUGCAUUGGAAACCGGCUAGCUUGAGUAGGUUAGAGGUGCACGGAACUUCCGGUGGAGCGGUGAUAUGUGUUGAUAUCGGAAGGAACACCAGAGGCGAAAGCGGUGCACUGGGGCCUGACUGACGCUGAGGCACGAAAGCCAGGGGAGCGAACGGGAUUAGAUACCCCGGUAGUCCUAGCUGUAAACGAUGAGCACUGGGUCGGAGAGUCUUCCAUAACUUUCCGGCCGAAGCGAAAGUGUUAAGUGCUCCGCCUGGGGAGUAUGGUCGCAAGGCUGAAACUUAAAUGAAUUGGCGGGG
rnacentral:rRNA from 1 species